rnacentral:rRNA from 1 species
UACGGGGGGAGCAAGCGUUGUUCGGAUUUACUGGGCGUAAAGGGCGCGUAGGCGGUCAGCACAAGUCAGUUGUGAAAUCUCCGGGCUUAACUCGGAAAGGUCAACUGAUACUGUGCGACUAGAGUGCGGAAGGGGCAACUGGAAUUCUCGGUGUAGCGGUGAAAUGCGUAGAUAUUGGAAGGAACACCAGUGGCGUAAGCGGCUAUCUGGCUCGACAUUGACGCUGAGGCACGAAAGCGUGGGGAUCAAACAGG